GAACGCUGGCGGCGUGCUUAACACAUGCAAGUGGAGCGACGAACCAGGGCUUGCCNUGGGGCAGAGCCGCGAACGGGUGAGUAACACGUGGGUUACCUACCCCGAUGACCGGGACAACCCGAGGAAACUCGAGCUAAUACCGGAUGUGGUCUUCGGACUAAAGGAAGCUUCGGCCUCCGCAUCGGGAUGGGCCCGCGGCGCAUUAGCUGUUGGUGGGGUAACGGCCUACCAAGGCGACGAUGCGUAGCUGGUCUGAGAGGACGAUCAGCCACACUGGGACUGAGACACGGCCCAGACUCCUACGGGAGGCAGCAGUGGGGAAUCUUGCGCAAUGCGCGAAAGCGUGACGCAGCAACGCCGCGUGAGGGAAGACGGCCUUACGGAGAUUGUAAACCUCUUUCAGUUGGGCACGCAAGACUUCGUCGGUUAUAUAGCCGAGCCGGAGUGACGGUACCUUCAGAGGAAGCCCCGGCUAACUUACGUGCCAGCAGCCGCGGUAAUACGUAGGGGGCAAGCGUUGUCCGGAAUCAUUGGGCGUAAAGAGCGUGUAGGCGGCCCGAUAAGUCCGCUGUGAAAGUCCAGGGCUCAACCCUGGAAUGUCGGUGGAUACUGUCGGGCUCGAAUCCGGAAGAGGUGAGUGGAAUUCCUGGUGUAGCGGUGAAAUGCGCAGAUAUCAGGAGGAACACCAAUGGCGAAGGCAGCUCACUGGGACGGUAUUGACGCUGAGACGC
rnacentral:rRNA from 1 species